rnacentral:rRNA from 1 species
UACGUAGGGGGCAAGCGUUGUCCGGAAUCGAUUGGGCGUAAAGAGCGUGUAGGCGGCCCGAUAAGUCCGCUGUGAAAGUCCAGGGCUCAACCCUGGGAUGCCGGUGGAUGCUGUCGGGCUCGAGUCCGGAAGAGGAGUGUGGAAUUCCUGGUGUAGCGGUGAAAUGCGCAGAUAUCAGGAAGAACACCAAUGGCGAAGGCAGCUCUCUGGGACGGUACUGACGCUGAGACGCGAAAGCGUGGGGAGCAAACAGG